GACGAACGCUGGCGGCGUGCUUAACACAUGCAAGUCGAACGCUGAAGCUCAGCUUUUGUUGGGUGGAUGAGUGGCGAACGGGUGAGUAACGCGUGAGUAACCUGCCUCCUUCUUUGGGAUAACGCCCGGAAACGGGUGCUAAUACUGGAUAUUCACUGGUCUUCGCAUGGGGGUUGGUGGAAAGGGUUUUUCUGGUGGGGGAUGGGCUCGCGGCCUAUCAGCUUGUUGGUGGGGUGAUGGCCUACCAAGGCUUUGACGGGUAGCCGGCCUGAGAGGGUGACCGGUCACAUUGGAACUGAGAUACGGCCCAGACUCCUACGGGAGGCAGCAGUGGGGAAUAUUGCACAAUGGGCGCAAGCCUGAUGCAGCGACGCCGCGUGAGGGAUGGAGGCCUUCGGGUUGUGAACCUCUUUCGCUCAUGGUCAAGCCGCAACAAUGGUUGUGGUGAGGGUAGUGGGUAAAGAAGCGCCGGCUAACUACGUG
rnacentral:rRNA from 1 species